AACGAAAGAGGGAGGAAUGAAUAACACAUGCAAGUCGAACGAGACCUUCGGGUCUAGUGGCGCACGGGUGCGUAACGCGUGGGAACCUGCCCUUAGGUUCGGAAUAACUCCCCGAAAGGGGUGCUAAUACCGGAUAAUGUCUUCGGACCAAAGAUUUAUCGCCUUUGGAUGGGCCCGCGUUGGAUUAGCUAGUUGGUAGGGUAAAAGCCUACCAAGGCGACGAUCCAUAGCUGGUCUGAGAGGAUGAUCAGCCACACUGGGACUGAGACACGGCCCAGACUCCUACGGGAGGCAGCAGUGGGGAAUAUUGGACAAUGGGCGAAAGCCUGAUCCAGCAAUGCCGCGUGAGUGAUGAAGGCCUUAGGGUUGUAAAGCUCUUUUACCCGGGAUGAUAAUGACAGUACCGGGAGAAUAAGCUCCGGCUAACUCCGUG
rnacentral:rRNA from 1 species